AUUGAACGCUGGCGGCAGGCUUAACACAUGCAAGUCGAGCGGGGUGAUGGUGCUUGCACUAUCACUUAGCGGCGGACGGGUGAGUACUGCUUAGGAAUCUGCCUAUUAGUGGGGGACAACAUCUCGAAAGGGAUGCUAAUACCGCAUACGUACUACGCGAGAAAGCAGGGGAUCACUUGUGACCUUGCGCUAAUAGAUGAGCCUAAGUCGGAUUAGCUAGUUGGUGGGGUAAAGGCCUACCAAGGCGACGAUCUGUAGCGGGUCUGAGAGGAUGAUCCGCCACACUGGGACUGAGACACGGCCCAGACUCCUACGGGAGGCAGCAGUGGGGAAUAUUGGACAAUGGGGGGAACCCUGAUCCAGCCAUGCCGCGUGUGUGAAGAAGGCCUUAUGGUUGUAAAGCACUUUAAGCGAGGAGGAGGCUCUUUUGGUUAAUACCCAAGAUGAGUGGACGUUACUCGCAGAAUAAGCACCGGCUAACUCUGUGCCAGCCGCCGCAGUAA
rnacentral:rRNA from 1 species